GAGCCAGACUCCUACGGGAGGCAGCAGUGGGGAAUAUUGCACAAUGGGGGAAACCCUGAUGCAGCAACGCCGCGUGAGUGAAGAAGUCUUUCGGUAUGUAAAGCUCUAUCAGCAGGGAAGAAGAUGACGGUACCUGAAUAAGAAGCCCCGGCUAACUACGUGCCAGCAGCCGCGGUAAUACGUAGGGGGCAAGCGUUAUCCGGAUUUACUGGGUGUAAAGGGAGCGCAGACGGCAGUGCAAGUCUGGAGUGAAAGCCCGGGGCCCAACCCCGGAACUGCUCUGGAAACUGUGCGGCUAGAGUACUGGAGGGGCAGGCGGAAUUCCUGGUGUAGCGGUGAAAUGCGUAGAUAUUAGGAGGAACACCAGUGGCGAAGGCGGCUUACUGGACAGUAACUGACGUUGAGGCUCGAAAGCGUGGGGAGCAAACAGGAUUAGAUACCCCCGUAUU
rnacentral:rRNA from 1 species